rnacentral:rRNA from 1 species
AGCAAAUAGAUACCCUGGUAGUCCACGCCCUAAACGAUGGAUACCUAGGCGUAAGAGGUAUCGACCCCUCUUGUGCCGCAGCUAACGCACUAAGUAUCCCGCCUGGGGAGUACGGCCGCAAGGUUGAAACUCAAAUGAAUUGACGGGGGACCCGCACAAGCGGUGGAGCAUGUGGAUUAAUUCGAUACUAACCGAAGAACCUUACCCAGACUUGACAUCGAUCGCAAGCUCUAGAAAUAGGGCCCUCCCCCACAAGGGGACGUGAAGACACUUGUUGCAUGGCUGUCGUCAGCUCGUGCCGUGAGUGUACGGUUAAGUCCGCCAACGAGCGCAACCCUCGUCCUGUGUUACCAGCAUGAAAGAUGGGAACUCACAGGAGACCGCCGGUGUAAGCCGGAGGAAGGUGGGGAUGACGUCAAGUCAGCAUGGCAGUUACGUCUGGGGCUUCACACAUGCUACAAUGGGCGAAACAAAGGGCCGCGAUACCGUGAGUGGAGCCAAUCCCAAAAAUACGCCCCAGUUCAGAUUGCAGUCU